UUCAAUCAAUGAAAUUAAUUUUCCUGUGCAAAAGCAGGAAUAAAUCUAUAAGACGAAAAGACCCUAUGGAGCUUUAAACUUAUUAUCAUUUAUUUAACCAUAUAACAACUUAAAUAAUAAUAAUGCUCUUUAAUAGUUUUCGGUUGGGGCAACCCUGGGGAAAAAUAAAUCCCCCAGAUUGAAAAAAAUAACCCUUAUAUAAGAACUACAGUUCAAAUAAACAAAAUUUUGACAAAACUGACCCAGAAUUAACUGAUCAGUGAACCAAGUUACCCUAGGGAUAACAGCGCUAUCCAUUUCGAGAGUCCAUAUUGACAAAUGGGUUUACGACCUCGAUGUUGGAUCAGGGUAUCCUAGCAGUGCAGCCAUUGCUAAUGGUUCGUUUGUUCAACGACUAACACCCUACGUGAUCUGAGUUCAAACCNGAU
rnacentral:rRNA from 1 species